UACGUAGGUGGCAAGCGUUGUCCGGAUUUACUGGGCGUAAAGAGCGCGCAGGCGGUCGUUCAAGUCCCGGGUGAAAGCCCCCGGCUCAACUGGGGAGGGUCACGCGAUACUGAUCGACUCGAAGGCAGGAGAGGGUAGUGGAAUUCCCGGUGUAGUGGUGAAAUGCGUAGAUAUCGGGAGGAACACCAGUGGCGGAGGCGACUACCUGGCCUGUUCUUGACGCUGAGGCGCGAAAGCUAGGGGAGCAAACGGG
rnacentral:rRNA from 1 species